rnacentral:rRNA from 1 species
UACGUAGGGUCCGAGCGUUGUCCGGAGUUACUGGGCGUAAAGCGCGCGCAGGCGGCGGUGUAAGCAUGGCGUGAAAGCCCCCGGCUCAACUGGGGAGGGUCAUUCGAUACUGAUCGACUCGAAGGCAGGAGAGGGUAGUGGAAUUCCCGGUGUAGUGGUGAAAUGCGUAGAUAUCGGGAGGAACACCAGUGGCGAAAGCGGCUACCUGGCCCAUUCUUGACGCUGAGGCGCGAAAGCUAGGGGAGCAAACGGG